rnacentral:rRNA from 1 species
UACGAAGGGGGGCUAGCGUUUGUUCGGAAUUACUGGGCGUAAAGCGCACGUAGGCGGCUUUUGUAAGUUAGAGGUGAAAGCCUGGAGCUCAACUCCAGAACUGCCUUUAAGACUGCAUCGCUUUAAUCCAGGAGAGGUGAGUGGAAUUCCGAGUGUUAGAGGUGAAAUUCGUAGAUAUUCGGAAGAACACCAGUGGCGAAGGCGGCUCACUGGACUGGUAUUGACGCUGAGGUGCGAAAGCGUGGGGAGCAACAGGAU